AGAUGAGAAAAGAAUAAAUACGCCUAAAAUUUCCUAGCUAGCAAUCUGAAGCACCCCAAGAACAAUCCAGUAGGCUGUGAGGGCUGCAAGAUGGACUUCAGGUUCCUUCUGGUACUUGCUUCUUGUAGUUUGAUUGUAACAAAAACAAAAGUUUCAGCACAACAAAAAUGCUGCACUGAAGUUGCAGUAAGCGUACGAAAGGAAAUGCUGAAUCGUGUCAAAUGCUACGAAGUCCUUGAGGCCAAUGGAAAAUGUGACCUCCGUGCCAUUAUGUUUCAUGUUGGAGAUAAAAAAUUAUGCGCAGAUCUUAAAAACAAAAAUGUGACGAUGUGGAUGAAGACGAUGAAAAAGAAAAAUCUAAAACCCAAAAACAAAAAAAACAGAAAGAGGAGAAAGACACCCAAGUGCAGAGUUAUCUACGGAAACGUCCACCUUUAAUUACAACAGCAUUGUUCAGAGGCCAUUCCAUUGGAUUUAUAAACUUUUACAA